UCCUGCUUGACGCAGGCAGUUUCAUUAGAGUGCCCAACUUAAUGCUGGCAACUAAUGAUGAGGGUUGCGCUCGUUGCGGGACUUAACCCAACAUCUCACGACACGAGCUGACGACAGCCAUGCAGCACCUGUGCACUCCCCGGCCGAACCGAAGGAUUCUAUCUCUAAAAUCCAAAAGAGGCAUGUCAAGGCCUGGUAAGGUUCUUCGCGUUGCCUCGAAUUAAACCACAUGCUCCACCGCUUGUGCGGGUCCCCGUCAAUUUCUUUGAGUUUUAAUCUUGCGACCGUACUCCCCAGGCGGAAUGCUUAAAGCGUUAGCGGCGCCACUGAGUUCUAAGAACCCAACAGCUAGCAUUCAUCGUUUACGGCGUGGACUAC
rnacentral:misc_RNA from 1 species